ensembl:lncRNA
CUCUCCCUGAGCUACAAAGGGGCUUCAGUCUGGAGCCAAAGCACAUCUGACACAAGAAUCAACGUCUAAGUUGGAAGUAGAAUCCAGAUUUCCACGGCACUGAACUUUCCAUGAGCUGAUGCCCUGGCAGCGUUCUCUGGUUUGUUGAACAAGAGGCCAAGAAUGCUUUCGACUCUGUGACCUCCAGAGGUAAAUUAGAAAAUGUGUCUAUGCUAUGUGAUAAGUUCCCGUCUUUGAGACCUUGAAGGACAGAACAGUCCCCAGAAUGUCCGGGGGCAUUUUGGCCUCUAGCCUCAGUUCUGCCACAUAUUGGCUGUGUGUCUGUGACUUUGGGCACAGUUCCUUCCCCAAGCUGAGGCCCAAUUUCCUCACCUCCAAAACAAGGUGACUGGUCCAAGAUUUCUGGGUCUUUGCAGCCUGACGUGCUGUGCCUGUAGGACUCGAAGCCCUCACAGGAAGACCCUGGGUCGUAUUCAACCUGGUUUCAGAUGACCCUUUGCCUGUGUUUGUUGUCUGGGAGGGCCCUCCCUCUUGCUGUUGUCCUAUCACCUAACCCCAAGCUGCAAAUAAGUUUUCUUCACGACGCAUUCAGAACCAGCAUUUCACGGCUGGCUUCUACGUGAUUCCAAGAUUUGCUGUUGACGAGGGCCCGGUGACUCUGAACUGAUACCAAAUUAAGUUUGAUUUAUAAUACAGGCCGUGUAGUGAUCAAUCAGCGUAGGCCAAAUGGAGGGUGAUGGAUAGCAUGAUCAGGAAUUGCCAGGGUAGGGAUGGGCAGAUUGGUUUUCUCCAAACAACCAGCAAUUAAAGCUUUCACCUUCACCCCCACUAUCCAGUGCUCUCCUUCCCAUCUCCUGACUGAACAUGAAUUUCCCUGAGAGGUCAAAGUUUGCCUGUUAAAUGCGGGUCACACAGAACACUUUCACAUCUUCUGGAUUCAGCCAUUUAAUUGAAGAUGCAGGCCUUGUCUUCCUGGAUGCUCCCCAUCAACCUCAUCGAUAUAAAAAUGACCUUUUCUAUUGGAUAAGUAACGUGAUUUUUUAUUUAAGUACUUUUUUAAAUAAAAAAGUAAUUUUUUAUUUAAAAAAUAAAAUCUCAUCAUUUCUAUUUUUUAAAUUUAUUUUAUGUUUAUGUAUUUUUGAGAGAGAGGGACAGUGAGUGGGGAAGGGGCAGAGAGAGAGGGAGAGAGACCCAGAAUCAGAAGCAGGCUCCAGGCUCUGAGCUGUUAGCACAGAGCCUGAUGCAGGGCUCGAACUCAAGAGCUGUGAGAUCAUGACCUGAGCCGAAGUCCAACCCUUAACUGACUGAGCCACCUGGGCACCCCUCUUUUCUAUUUUUAUUUAUCACUUUAACCAAAGACAACAGAGUUGGAUUCUGAAUCUUACAGGAAAAGAAAUUAAUUGAAAGGAAGAGAAAAAAAGAAAGAAAGAAAGAAAGAAAGAAAGAAAGAAAGAAAGAAAGAAGAAAGAAAGAAAGAAAGAAGAAAGAAAGAAAGAAAAAGAAAGAAAGAAAGAAAGAAAGAAAGAAGAAAGAAGAAAAACUCAGUUAUGGGAACCUUCAUAUCCUUCUUUCUUUAAGAGCGUAAAUGGGGGCUUUUGUUGUUGCUGUUUUUGGCUUUGCACAAAAGUCACGUCCUGUGAUCUCAUGAAAUAGGUGCCUUCAUCUCUUUCUUUUUUGAACUGAUCAGCUGGAUAUCUUCCAGGGAUUUGGUGUCAGAAAUCAAGUCUGGUGAGUGAGAAGUUUGACCAGAUUCAGAACAGCCUCGUCAAAUUGCAAACAGAGGGUGUGGAGUCAGGUCAGUUACAGAGGGUCACAAAAAUGAAACUCACAAUGGACAGGGUGUAUAUUUGAGGCACAUAAGUCAGUAGUAGUUGAUAUUAAUCAAAUACAAAAACAAAAACAAAAUAAUAGUAGUAAUAAACAGCCAGGCCAACACUGAAACUUUUGAACU